ACUGGUCAUGCAAUCAGGCACACGGAUACAAGGAGUAUUUCACACAACUCCUAAUCUAAACCAUCACCUGUAUCACAUCCUUCAACACACAACCAGCAUCUCGGACCUUCGUCUACAACAGAUCCUCGUGAUCACAACGGUACAAAGUGUGGUAGUACCCCCGAACAAUCUACACCAGUACUGGGGACGUCGGGGUUAUCUCACCACUACCCAUAUUGAAGCAAUAACGAACACCCUCCGUUCUUAGGUACUCAGAAAUCUGAAUGAUGGCGAUGUGCGCGAUAAUCCCUGGAGCUCAACUCCCCUGAUACUUAGAGCAGAUAGGAGGCACCAGGACACGAUUCCGUCACAUCGAAAUCAUAUAGAUUUCGCAAACACCCGCGUGAUCCUAAAAAAAAUUUGAGCG
rnacentral:lncRNA from 1 species